rnacentral:lncRNA from 1 species
UUCAAGUCCCGAGUUAUUACUUUCACAAAUUAAAACAGCUUGCAGAAAGCAUGGGAUUGAGAUUGCUGGCCAAAACUCAUCAGUUAUGGGAGCUCGCGGAGGCUUUCAACAGAUAAAGAAGAAUUUGUUGGGAGAGAAUGUGAUCAACCUAUUCACAUAUCAGAGAAUGGGAGCGGACUUCUUCUCACCUGAACAUUUUCCUUCAUUUUCUGAGUUUGUUCGGAGCCUUAAUCAACCACAACUGGAGUCGGAUGAUCUACCUACUGAAGAAGAAGCUGCUGAGUCCAUACCUACAAAUUCGGAAUCAGUCAUCCGCUUGCAAACCGCUUAAUUUCAAUUAGAAUUUAUGGUUGUAUUUUUCAAUUAGAAUUUAUGGUUGUAUUUGUAUAUAUUAAACUUGUCUGCUAU